CUGAGGGAGCGGAUGGGUGAGCUGACCCAGAGCUGGGUUUUGUACAAUUGGAGGAAUGGAAGGGGCCAAGAGACAGACUAACCAGAAGAACUAAGGGAGGAAAUUUCCCCUCCCCCACAGCUGGCAAGCCAGCCAGGAGACUUCACUGGCCGGACAGAGUUCACACUGGGACUGCUGCGAAUGAUGAGAUCUUGGGGCAGCUCAUACGCACUGGCAGAAGGAAUGUGGGGCUGGAAGUGACCUCUCUGGUGAUUAGGC